AUAAUUCAGUACGUCAAUGAAUUAUCAAUUGAAUUUCACACGUUAAAUUUGGGCUCUGAAUUUUUGGAUUGAUGACGAUUGAUUGCAAAGUUUAAUUCGGGCUUGACGCAUUGCUGUGAAAAUCUAAGGGAUCGCAACCAAUAUUGAAACGAUUAAUCGCGGGGGUUUAGUUACGCAUUCGGUCGGCCUGUCGUAUUAUAGAUUUCUCGUAGUUUUUCGGAAACGGCAGUGGAACUGCAGCAGCAGAAGCGACAACAUCGGCAGCGACAACAUCCUCGGAACAGGGGAGGGGAAAUUGAGGCUUUCAAUCAGUCACCACGGCGGUUCAUUCGUCGCAGAACUCAUUCAACUUCC
rnacentral:misc_RNA from 1 species